rnacentral:lncRNA from 1 species
UGGGAAGUAUUAACUAGAUAGAUAUUUAAUGGUGAUAUGAAUAUUUUUUUAUGAGUAUUUUAGUGUAUGUUAUUUGGUAAUGACUAUUAUAAUGAUAUGUUGAUACCCGGCAAGGCCGGAGGAUAUAUUAAUAAUAAGUUGAUACCCGGCAACGCCGGAGGUUGAUUACGAUGAUGACGGUCCUGAUGAGGAUAGCUAUGAUGAGUUAUGAUAUUGAUUGUGUACUUUGCAUUCAUUCCUGCAUGCACAUCGCCUAUCACCAGCAUGCACCUAUAAUUAUCAACUGGUAGAGAAUGGUUGCAUAUAUAUGGAUGAAGAAUAUUUGCAUAUAUAUGAGUGAAGAAUAUGUCUUAUGUUAUUGUAUACUGAUAGAACCUUUCGAGUCUGGGGAAUUGGGGGUAUGCAUAGGCUCACCUAGGUAUUUGGUUAUCCAUAAGUAGAGGACUGAGGAGAUUGCGUCUAUGAAGGUCCAGUGGAAGAAUCGUCCUAUUGAAAAGGCCACUUGGAAGGCCGAAGCAGACAUGCGUAGCAAGUAUCCAUAUCUUUUUGCCAAUUCAGGUAAUUUCUUGUUUUCCCUUCUUGUCUUAUGUUUGUCGUUCGGCGAUGAAUGAUUGUUUAAUUGGUAUCUUAUGUAACGACCCUCUCGAUCUUUUUAGAUUUUUCUCAUCUUCUUUAUUUUAGCGCUCUCUGUAGUUUGCAUAGAUGGAUUAUGACUUACGAGAUGAGAUGUACCAAUUCUUGAGGUGUUUGAAAGUACUUUAAGUCAUUAAUGGGGUUAUUGAGUUGAGAAAGUUAAAUUCGAUAAUGGUCAAUCUUUGAUCAAGACGACCUCGGAUUAGUGUUGUAAUAUUUUCAAUAGGUAUGGAAUGUACUUUUAGGUCAAUGUAUAUAUUUGGUUUAUUUUCUUCAGGUUCCGAAUAAAUUCAAUAAUUUAUUAGAAGGUUUUGGUAUUUUAGAUAUUAUUUUAGUGAUGGUUAUGGGCCAAGUUAGUAUUUUAUUAUUUAUGAAGACCGGUGUAUAAAAAUAAAAUUUAAGUGGGAAUGAAUUAUCCUACUUAUAUAAUAACAUCAGAUAAUUGGGGCCAACAAAGCCACGACAGUUAGUGUAGUUCAAUUCUCUCCAUCGCACUUUGAAGGGAUUUCUUUAGAAAUUGCUCGAGGUAAAAAUUUUCCAAAAACUCUAUUGAAUAUUUUAAUUUGCGUGAUUGGUUGAUGGAGAUGUGGUGUUGUUAUUGCUAGUAGUUCAUGGGUGGGUUAAAAAGGAAGGAAAAUUAAAAAUUUGAAAAAAUUGCAACAAUGUUGUUGCACGCAUGUAAUGUGAAUUAUUCCUUGGGGUUGACAGUUAGUAGUAAUGAUUAAGUCAUCAUUAGGAAAGAUGGUUUGUAAAAUAGACAAGGUUGUGCUUCGUACGUAGUUACUGCCUCGUGAAUAUCCUUUCUUUUUUUUCUUGUAAUUCUUCACAUUAUAAUCCAUGGGUAUAUAAAAUUAAUACUAGGUAAAUUAUAUGAACCCUUAUUCGUUGUAUGAUACUUGGAAAAAUUGAGAUUUAGCGUUAGGCUUGGAAUUUAGAAAAUAUGAGGUUUAACUAAUAAUACAUGUCAGGUUUGAGAAUUGAUUAUAAAAUUGGACUCUUUUACUUACUAGUAAUAAUCGUAUUUGAACAGAUUUGAAAUAUUUGGAAACUUUACAGAGACCCUUACAAAUUAGCUUGCAUUGGAUUCUUCGAUUGAGGUAGUUUACGGUUUAAUUGGAGUUUAGACUCAACUAAAUUGUGUGUAUGCUCCUAAAUUGGAUACUUGUGGAUUGGUAUUCGGACAUGCUUGAAAUUGUUGAUGUUUUGAUUGUUGAUUCGUCUAUAAAUAUUUAUUGAAAAUGGACUUGAUGGAAUUGUUUAUGACUUUAAGUGUACUUGUAAACUUGGUACAUUUUGUGGCAUACUGUGAGGUUGUGUAAAUUGAUAUUGAUAAUACUUGGUUAUGUUUAUGUUGGAUCGAGUAUCACGUCGGUACAUUUAUAUUUAUAUUGGUUCGGGAAACACGCUGGUACGUUUAUAUUCAUAUUGGAUUAGGUACCAGUCCGGUACGUUUAUAUUCAUGUUGGAUCGGGUACCAAACUAGUACUUUUAUAUUUAUAUUGGAUCAGGUACCACGCCAGUACGUUUAUAUUUAUGUUGGAUCGGGUACCACAUCGGUACGCUUAUAUUUAUGUUGGAUCGGGUACCAUGCCGAUACGGUACAUGAACAUAGAUUGUUCCCUGCAAGUCUUGACUAUUUGGGAAAAAAUAAGUCUGAUAGCAUGUGUGUACAUAUUUCUGUUAUUUCUAUGGAUGUUUACAGUAUGGUUGAUACUCCUGAUGGUUAUGUGGCUUGUUUGUGAGCACUAUUUGACCUGUUCUUGUUGUAAUGUUGAUUCAUUAAAAAAAUUUUAUGUGACGAUGCUUGUCUACUUGUUAUUUGAUUUAUGUUGUGUACAUGUUAUUAAAUUGAGUUGGCCUAUGAUACCUACCAGUACAUAGUGGUUUGUACUGAUACUACCCUGUACUCUUCUUUUGUUGAGUGCAGAAAGUGUUCUAGGCUCAGACAUAACCUCACCUCUAGAGUUUGAUAGCAGAUCUUGAUCCAAGGGUGAGCACUCCUUAUCCAAGCUAUCAUGGUUCAUCUUAUUUGUUCUUGUCCAUCUUUCAGGCAAUGAAACAUUCUUUAUUUACUUUAUUUUUGGAUAUCACUUUAGAUAUGAUCUUUGUUAGUAGUUCUUGUGCGAUGACUUUCGGGUCUUGGGAAUUUUAGCAAGUAGUUGGUUUGAAUCUCCGCAUUAAUAAUAAUUAGUCCUGGAUAUUUAUUAUUAUGUUGAAUUUUAUAAUAAUAUUAUCUAAUAUUGACUAAGUGUUUCGGUAAUGGUUCGGUUUAGAUGGUUCUCACACAGGAAGAUUAGAAGCAGGAUUUUCCAUACCAAAUUGUCCCCAAAAAUCACCUAAUUGGGUUUUAUGUUUAAGCCUAUCCAUCUCAAUUUUUCUAGACAAUUUCAAAUCAUUACAAAGAUUGAGACCUUCUUGAGUACAGGCUGGAAUAAGAUGACCAUAAGUAAAAUCUGUCCAAAGGAAUGCACCAUAUUGUCCCUUAAUAGAUUUUUUAACCCUUUCUGCAAAAAGAGGUGGAAGUCCAUCUAUGAAUCUAGCUUUCCAAUGUUCAAGCCAAGAUUUGGGUAGAUCCAUAACUCUACUAAUAAAAGUGUCUUUGUACCAUAUGAAUUCUUCUAAAUGUUUUCAUCCAAGGUCAUUUAAGAGGGUACGGAUAUUUUUAUGUUUGUUGAUAAAUCUACCCCCAAAUUGUUGAAUAAUGAUAAGCACAAGGGUAUAUACAGCAUCUUCCCUCCCUUCUGGUAGUUCUCUACCUAGGUUGUCAAUGCCAGGAAGUAUAUUCUUAGCCUCAAAAAUUUUGUUUCUUUCGUCGUUGGAAAGAAAGUUGUCCCACCAGCCACGAAGUUGGCCAGUAAAACCUGCAACUAGGGGUGUACAGAUCAAACCGUCAAGUCAAACCAAACCGACGAACCAAACCAAACCGAGAAAAAAAUUCGACUUAUGGUUUGGUUUGAUUGGUUUGGUGUUAGAAAAAAAAUGACCAUUUUUUGUUUGGUUUGAUGUUAAACAAAAAAAGCCAAACCAAACCCAAAUCACACCGACAUAAUAUAUAUAUAUAUAUAUAUUUAAUAUAGUAUAUAUAUAAUAUUCAAAGUUUUUUAUACAUAAAAUAUUAAUUAUAAUCUACUUGUUAAAUACUUUUUCAACUAGUUUUAGUAAUUUUCAAUAAUUUGAAAGUAGAUGUAGAUAUAUAUAUGUAUAUUUAGGUUUUGGCCUUUAAGUUGUAAUAUUUUUCCAUUAAUUGCUACUUAAAUGAUCGAAAAUCGAAUAUAAACCUAAAACCUAAACUUUUCACUCUUCAUCUCACUUUUUAGUUUCAAGAUAGUUUUUCGCUCAUCAUUUUUUCAUAAUUAUGGUUUUUCAUUAGCACGUGAGUUAAAACAUAUUUGAUCUAGUCUUCGAUCACAAUAUAAUUGUAAAAACUAAAGAUUAUAAAAAAAUCCGAAAAAACUGAAAAACCUAAAAAAAUAGACUAAAACCUAAAUCAAAAAAACCAAUUUUAUGUUGGUUUGAUUUGGUUUAGAGUUUUAAUAAACCGACAUGAUUGGUUUAGUUUUUUUUUUAAUAAAAACUGAAUCCACCCGAUCUAUGUACACCCCUACCUGCAACAAUCAUUUUACAUAUAGUGUCAUCUGUUCGAAUAGGUUUGCCAUCAUUAUCAUUAGGGCUAGUGACUUUGGCAAUCAUAGAAUACAUUAACAUAUGAUGGACUAAAUUAACAUACGAUGGAAUAAAAUAGAAAAUUGUCUUUCUGAUAAUCCAUCUAAAUUCCAUUCAUAAAUAUUGUAAUACCCGUGCUUAUUCCUAGUUAAAAAUCAUCUCAAGGAUGCUAGUACUUGCAUUGAAAUACAAAUCUAUUUUUGUACCCAUGGAAUUUUUGAGAUUUCUACUUUCUAUCACGUGGAAAUUUGAAUUAGCUUUCUAACAAUACCAAUUUUUUUCCAAAUCUGACACCAGACGAGGAAGUUAUGGAUGUUUUACUCAGAACUAACCAAAAUUCCCUGGUGCGACAUCCAAGUUGACGGACCGCCAAACAAGUGACGGACCACCACUUUGACCGUCAUAGCCAAGGAAGUAGGGCCAUGAUCUGGAUAAGGAUUGAUGGACUAGUUGACGGACCGUCAUAUAUUUGACGGACCGUCAUCCAAGCCAUCAACUCUUAUCAAGUGAACCCCAUUUCUAGUCCAUGUAUAACGGUCGAAAUGAUGGACCGUCAAGUUCCUGAUGGACCGUCAGUCGGGUCGUCACACGCCACAUUCAGUUUACUUCUAGGCCAUUUUAACUAGGGUAUUUUGGUCACUUACUACUCGCCUAUAUAUACCUAGAUGAUUUCGAAUUCAUCCAUUUAGCUUAUUAUUAUUCCACAAACAAAAACUAGGAUUUCACUCAAAAUUUAAUCUCCACGAACAAGACCCAAUCUUAUUCAAAAAUCAAAGGAUUUCAAAUCCUUCAAGUUCAAAAACAUCAAAAACCGUGAGUCAGGUACGCGUGGUGUUCAUCUAUGGAUCCAUUUCAUUCAUAGAGCUCAAGAACCAUGUUUUAGAUAUUAUUUUGUGAUUGUCUUGUUGUGAUAUGAGUUGUACAUGUUGAUGAUUGUUGUUUUAAGUUUCAAGAUGAUAUCUAAAGUUGAUUUCAUGAAGUAUAUGUGUUUGUUAGUUGAAACCCAUGAUCCUCGUAUGGCUUAAUAUGGUGAAAUUCAUGAACACACUUAAGCUAAAAGAAUGCAUGCAAAGUGUUUGAUAAUAUGCCUAGAUGAUAGAAUUCAUGUCCCAUGAUUUAAUAGUGCUUAAAUGACAAGUCCAUGCUCUAUGCUUUACGAUUUCCCAUGAAUUCCAUGUGAGUGAUAUGCGUUGCUGUUGUGAUAUGGAUUGACCAUGAUAUUGAAGCUAUGCAAGUAUAAACAUGUUGUAUGAAUUUCCCUUCCAUGUAUAAGAUGUUAAUAACUAUGCUUAGUGUGAUAUGCCCUACUCAUGAUAUGGUAAAUUGUGGACUCUACUCUUACGAUCAAGUCAAUUAUGUGUGUUAGUUUCCUUCUAUUAAGUCCUGGGGGUACUUGUACCCAAAAUAUAUAGCUACGUCCCUAGAUCCAUGUCAUGUGAUCAUGAUAAUCUCAGUCAAGCCAUGAUCUAUAGAACUCAGUUGGGCAUGUGACUCAGGAAACCUCAGAAAUCUCAUAAUCUCAGUUAAUUCUCAAAUAGUAGUACUAAUCCGUCAGCCAACGAAAGUCAGUUACUAAGUCCACGUACCAUCAGUUAAAUCAAGUUCAGUCUCUUCAGAUGAGAGUAGAAGUUAGCACCGAGUGAACCCAAGGAUGGGAACUCACCUUCUAGUUUAAAGUGUGAUUCUUAGCAAUCAUCCUUGUGUUCCGGAACUACAUAUCCAACGUAGGUUGUGACAUCUUAACCUGACAGAUUAGGGUUGAUGAGGUGGCUUAAUCCAUCAGUUUAGGGUUCUCUCCAUUCUCAUUUUGAGUACCUUCCAUCUAAGGGUCACUCACAGCUGUCCUUACUAGUGGCGUGGUAUGGACACCCUUCUAGUCGUGGCAGAGAUUGGACCCCAACUUAGCUAUAUAUGUUAUGGGGGCAGGUCGGUUAAAAAAAUAUCUCCCACAGUUUCAGUCCCAGUCUCAGUAAAAUAACUUAGAUAGUUUUUCAGCUUUCAGUAGAUCAGGACUGUCAAAUACAGUCAGUUCAGUUACAGAACGGAACGCAGAUAGUUCCACUAGAUUUAGGACUGUCAGACAAAGUCAUCUAUGUUAUCAGAAUUUUAGUAUUUGUCAUGCUAGAUAUCAGUAGAUCAUAUAUUAGUGUCCAGAUCUAGAUAUCACGUACUCAGUAACUACGUAUGCAUGUUUACACUCUUACGUUUAUAUCGGUUAGUCAGUCAGCAUCGUUCAUGCAUGUGAACCCUUUUGCAUUUAGCCUACCUCACUCGUAUACUCAGUACUCCCAGUUGUACUGACCCAUUUGCGCUAUGGUUCUUUCUUUAAUAUUACACCAUAGGUUCACAGAUAUGAGCUCCAGAUCAGUAUUAGCAGUAGCAUUUUAGUCACAGAGUUGCAGUGAGUCCUCAUCCAUUUGAGGAUGAUAUUAUUUAUUUCAUUUAUUAAUUCUAUUUAGUUUUGCUAGACGAAGUUAGUUGGAGACAUAUUCCUUCAACUCCUUAUUCAGAUAGUAUUUAGAGGCUUUUAGAUUUAGCCCAGAUUUGAUUCAGAUUUUUGUUAUUUUGGGUAUUCGUUACCCCAUAUGGAUGUUAUGAUUUGUCAGAUAUUCUAUGCAGUUGAACCUUAUGGCCUAUUAUUUAUGUUUUCCAUAUUAUUACGUCAUAUAUUAUAGUAUACAGGUACAGAUAUUAGUCAUGGGUUAGCUUGUGGCCCCUCGGGACCAUGGGCCCCGUGUAGCAAUCCACUUCAGAAAACUGAGGCGUUACAAACUUGGUAUUAGAGCCUAAGGUUCAACAGAGUCCUAGGAAGUCUAAAAGUCACAUCUAGUAGAGUUUUAUGCAUGGGUGUAUUGUGCGCCACAUUUAUGUGCAAGAGGCUAUAAGAUGUUUUAGGAAUAGUUUCCCUUCUUUCGGUAUUCAUAUCAUGCUAGUGAGCAUAAUCUCAAGUUAAACUCUCGGUCUAAUCCGUUCUUCUCUUAUUAUAAAGUAUGCCUCCAAAGAGAAGAAACCAGCCAGCUCCUCAGCUCGAAGAUCCUUUGGGCGAACAUGUUUCUCAUGCAGAGUUUAUGGUUGUAUUUACCACACUUGCUCAGUAUGUGGCUGCCCAAAAUGAAUGGCCACCAGUUAAUCCGGCCAAUCUAGCGGCCAACUCAGACGCAGCUAGGAUUCGGGACUUCACUUGAAUGAACUCUCUAUCUUUCUAUGGGUCUAAGUCUGAUGAAGACCCUCAGGAAUUCAUUGACUAAGUCCAGAAGGCCAUAGACAUCAUGAGAGUUACUUCUUAUCUGAGUACCGAGUUAGUCACAUACCAAUUACAGGAUGUUACUCACACUUGGUACAAACAGUGGAAGUUCGAGAGGUUAGAGGAUGCAGUCCUAUAGAGUGGGAGGAAUUUGUCACGACUUUCUUAGACAUAUUAUUUCCCCAAGAGCUGAGGGAGGCAAAAGUUCUAGAGUUCAUCACCUCAGGCAGGGAAAUAUGAUACUUAAGGAGUAUUCUCUCAGAUUUAAUCAGCUAACCAGAUAUGCCCCUCAUGUGGUUACAGACAACAAGGCUAAGAUCAGCAAGUUCGUGUCAGGGGUGAAUGAUAGCGUGGUAAAUAAGUGUAACUCUGCGAUGUUGAACAGUAAUAUGACUUUAGCCAGGCUCAUGACUCAUGCUCAAUAAAUAGAGAAGCAGAAGAUUAAGACUAGGGAGAGACAGAACAAGAGAGCAAGGUCAGGCAAUUUCAGUUUUUCUUAACCAAAAUUAGAAGGAGAAAACCGUUUGCCAUUUCAUCCUAAUCCAGCAAUUCUAGCUCCUUCCUCCGCCAGUGCCCCAGUGCUAAAAUUCAAAGACAGUAACAGAGAUCGAGCACUAGGCACUAAGUCUCAGGGCAGUAUAAGUAGUGCCCGAACUAAUCCCCUAUGUCAGACUUAUGGUAAGAACCACAAGGGUACCUGUAGAGCUGGUAGUGAUGUUUUUUUCAGUUAUGGCAAGCCAGGUCAAAGGAUUAGAGAGUGUCCGUAGUUGGGUCUACAGGGUUAGCAGAAUCGCUCCACAGCCCAGUCUGGUCGCCCAAACCAGUAAAGUGCCGCAUCUAGUGCUACUAGUGGGCAAUGUCCAAAUAGACUCUAUGCUCUUUAGACCCGACAGAAUUAGGAAAAUUCUCCUUGUGUCGUUACUGGUAUGUUACAAAUUUUCCAUGUUCAUGUUUAUGCGUUGCUAAAUCCAGGUGCAUCCCUGUCUUUUGUUACUCCUUAUAUAGAAGGCGAUUUUGAAAUCAGUUCCAAAAUUUUAGUAGAGCAAUUUUUAGUCUCUACCCCAGUGGGUAAAACCAUCAUAGCUCAACGGGUAUACAGGAACUACCCAAUUAUGAUAUUUCAGAAUGCCACAUCAGCAGAUUUAGUCGAGUUAGAGAUGACAGAUUUUGAUGUCAUUCUCUACAUGGAUUGGCUUUAUUCCUACUAUGCCAUAGUUGACUGUGGAACCAGGGUAGUUUAGACUCAGUUCCCGAAUGAGCCCUUCUUGAGUGGAAGGGUAGUAAUUCAUCUUUCAGGGGUCAUCUUAUUUCCUACCUUCGGUUAAGAAAAAUGAUUUCUAAGGGGUGUGUGUAUCAUCUCAUGCAUAUUAAAGAUUCCAGUUCUGAAUCUCCUAGUCUUGAAUCAGUCCCAGUUGUAAAUAAGUAUUCAGACGUGUUUCCCAAAGACCUUCCAGGCAUUCCUCCCGAAAGGGAAAUAGACUUUGGCAUUGACCUUAUUCCAGAUACUUUUCCUAUUUCUAUUCGGCCAUAAAAAAUGGCACCAACAGAACUCAAAAAAUUGAAAGAUUAGCUGAAGGAUCUCUUAGAUAAGGGAUUCAUCAGGCCCAGUGUAUCCCCAUAGGGUGCACCAAUCUUAUUCGUGCGCAAUAAAAAUAGUUCUCUCAAGAUGUGUAUCGAUUAUUGUUAGCUCAACAAAGUUACGGUCAAGAACAAGUAUUCUCUUCUCAGAAUAGAUGACUAAUUUUGACCAACUUUAGGGUGCUAAUUAUUUCUCUAAAAUAGACCUCAGAUCAGGCUACCAUCAUCUCAGAGUUAGAGAAUGUGACAUCCUGAAGAUAGCUUUCCGUUCUCGGUAUGGUCACUUUGAGUUUCUAGUUAUGUCCUUUGAUUUAACCAAUGCCCCAACCACUUUCAUGAACUUGAUGAACCGUGUUUUCAAGCAGUACUUGGACAUGUUCAUCAUAGUCUUCAUAGAUGAUAUCCUGGUCUAUUCCCACACAGAGCGUGAUAAUUCAAACCAUCUCAAAAUUGUUCUUCAGACUCUCAGAGAUCACUAGCUAUUCACCAAAUUUAGUAAGUGUGAGUUUUGGAUAAGAUCAGUAUCAUUCCUUGGCGAUAUUAUUUUUGGUGAUGGCAUUAGAGUAGAUCCUCAGAAGACCAAAGCAGUAAGAACCUAGCAUCGCCCCAUCUCUCUAUCAGAUAUCAGGAGUUUCUUGGGAUUGGCUGGCUAUUAUAGAUGGUUUGUCGAGGGGUUUUCUUAUAUUGCAUCCCCCAUGUCCAGAUUGACUCAAAAGAAGGUCAAGUUUCAGUGGUCAGAUCCUUGUGAGAAGAGUUUUCAAGAGUUGAAAACUCGACUUACCUCAGCUCCAGUUCUAGCUCUUCCAGAUGGUUUAGAUGGGUUCGAGAUAUAUUGUGCUGCAUCCAGAGUGGGUUUAAGUUAUGUCCUCAUGCAGCAUGGUAAGAUCAUAGCCUACGCCUCCAGAUAGUUAAAGCCCCAUGAGAAGAAUUUUCCUACUCAUGAUCUUGAGUUAGCAGCCAUAGUAUUUGCCUUAAAGAUUUGGAGGCAUUAUCUAUACGGAGUUCAUGUAGAUAUCUUCACGGAUCAUAAGAGUCUCCAGUAUGUCUUUUCUCAGAAAGAUAUCAAUCUUCGUUAGAGAAGAUGGUUAGAGGUUUUGAAAUAUUAUGACAUGAGUGUCCUUUACCAUCCGAGCAAGGCCAACGUUAUGGCUGAUGCUCUCAGUAGACUCUCCAUGGGUAGUGUUUCUCACGUCGAGGAUAGUAAGAAAAAAUAGAUCAGGAAAUCCAUCAUCUUGCCAGACUAUGCGUUCGCUUAGUAGAUUCUUCGAAGGGUGGUGUAUAUUUUUAGAGUAGUUCAGAGUUUAGUUUCCGAGGUGAAAGAAAAGCAAGAUAGGGAUCCUAGCCUUGUCCAGUAAAAAGAGUCAGUUCAAAAUCAGAGGGUAGAGGUUUUCUCCCAAGGGGGAGAUGGUGUUCUUCGUUGUCAGGGUCGUUUGUGCGUUCCAGGUGUGAUGACUUAAAGAAGUGGAUUCUUGCAUAAGUGCAUGGUGCGCAAUAUUAUAUUCAUCUAGGGGCCACUAAGAUGUAUCGCGACCUACGGGAAAUCUAUUGGUAGAGUGGGAUAAAGAGAGAUAUUGUAGAGUUUGUAGCUAAGUGCUCUACAUGACAACAAAUUAAGAUAGAGCAUCAGAAGCCUAGUGGACAUAUGUAGGAGUUCACCAUUCCUACUUUGAAGUGGGAAGAAGUGAACAUAAGCUUCAUGAUAGGUUUGCCUAGAACUCAUCAUCAGCAUGAUUCAGUUUGGGUUAUUGUAGAUAGGAUAACCAAGUCAGAUCAUUUCCUUCCAAUUCAUUCUUCUUAUUCAGCCAAGGAUUAUACCAAACUCUAUAUCAAGGAGUUGGUCAGAUUACACAGUGUUCCAUUAUCUAUUAUUUCAGACAGAGGUACCCAGUUCACCUCUCACUUUUGGAAAGCAUUCCAAAAGGGUCUUGGUACCCAAGUCCAUCUUAGUACAGCCUUUCAUCCUUAAAUAGAUGGUCAAGCAGAACGGACCAUUCAGACUCUUGAAGAUAUGCUAAGGGUGUGUGCAAUUGAUUUCAAGGGAAGUUGGGAUGACCACUUUUCUUUGAUUGAGUUUGCAUCCAACAAUAGCUAUCAUUCCAUUAUUAAAAUGGCUCUAUUCGAAGCUCUUUAUGGCAGGAGGGAUAGAUCUCCCAUUGGUUGGUUUUAAAUUAGUGAGGCCUCAGUCAUAGGUCCUGACUUGGUUUUUUAUGCCUUAGAGAAAGUUCAGUUGAUCAGAGAGAGACUCCGGGCAGCUCAAAGCUGACAGAAGUCUUAUGUUGAUAUUCGUAGAAAGGAUCUUGAGUUCGAGGUCAAUGACUAUGUCUAUCUCAAGAUCUCUCCCAUGAAGGGAGUAAAGAGGUUUGGCAAGAAAGGGAAACUCAGUCCCUGCUAUGUCGGUCCCUUCAUGAUUCUCAGUCGUUUAGGCAAGGUAGCUUAUGAGCUCAAAUUGCCUUCAAAUUUAGCCUCAUUUCAUCCUGUAUUCCAUGUAUCCUUGCUCAAGAAGUGCGUAGGUGACCUAGCAGUUGUAGUCCCUAUUCAGAGUGUUGAUGUUCAGAACAGUCUCUCUCAUGAAGAGUUCCCAAUCAAAAUCUUAGACUAUCAAACUCGCCGAUUGGGGAACAAAGAGGUCCCUAUAGUUAAGGUUCUUUGGUAAAAUCAGUCGGUUGAGGGAGCUACUUGGGAAGCAGAAGCAGAUAUGCAUACUAAGUAUCCUUAGCUCUUCUCUGCAUAUUUAGAUCAAGUUCAUGGUAAUAGUUCACCUUAAGCUUAUUCAGUUUCAUAUUCAUGUUCCCAUUAUAAAUGUUUAUCUACUACCAUUUCAUACUCUGUCACACAUUCAUGUAUCAGUUCUGUUAUAAAAUAAUGCAUCAGCUAUGUAUUCUCAUCUUGAGAAACUCAGUUUAUCAGAACACUCAGUCACGCAUUCAUGUACCAGUUAGCCAUGCACCAGAUGUGCAUGAAUUCAGUAUAUUUAGCAUGUCAGUCAUGAAGUCAUGUCUCAGUCACACAUGUUCAUUUCAUGCUCAUUUAUUAUUUUCCCUCUUAGUCAGCCUCAUUAGAGGAUGAAUGUUCUCAAGAAGGAGAUAUUUUAAUACUCGUGCUUAUUCCUAGCUAGAAAUCAUCUCAAAGAUGCUAGUACUUGCUUUGAAAUACAAAUCUAUUUUUGUACCCGUGGUAUUUUUGACAUUUCUACUUUCUAUCAUGUGGGAAAUUGAGUUAGCUUUCUAAUGAUACCAAUUUUGUCCAAAUCCAACACCAGACGAGGAAUUUAUGGAUGUUUUACUCAGAACUGACCGAAACGCCCAGGUGUGACAUCCAAGUUGAUGGACCACCAAACAAGUGAUGGACCGCCACUUUGACUAUCACAGCCAAGGUAGUAGGGCCACAUUCUGUAUAAGGAUUGAUGGACGAGUUGACGGACCGUCAGAUUUUUUACGGACCGUCAUCCAAGCCAUCAACUCUUAUCCAACGAACCCCAUUUCUAGUCCACGUAUGACGAUCAAAAUAACAGCCGUCAAGUUUUUGAUGGACUGUCAGUCGGGUCGUCAUACGCCACUUUUAGUUUACUUCCAGGCUAUUUUAACAAGGGUAUUUUGGUCACUUACCACUCACCUAUAUAUGCCCAUAUGAGUCCAAAUUCAGCCAUUUUGCUCAUUAUUAUUUCACAAACAAAACCUAGGGUUUCGCUCUAAAUUUAAUCUCCAAGAACAAGAUCCAAUCUUCUUCAAAAAUCAAAGGAUUUCAAAUCCUUCAAGUUUAAAAACAUCAAGACCCUUGAGUCAGGUAUGCGUAGUUUUCAUCUAUGGAUCUAUUUCAUUCAUAGAGCUCAAGAACCAUGUUUUAAAUAUUAUGUUGUGAUUGUCUUGUGGUGAUAUGAGCAUGUACAUGUUGAUCAUUGUUUUUUAAGUUUCAAUAUGAUAUCUAAAGGUGAUUUCAUGAAGUAUAUGUAUUUGUUAGUUGAAACCCAUGAUCCUUAUGUGGCUUAAUAUGGUGAAAUUCAUGAACACACUUAAGCUAAAAGAAUGCAAGCAAAGUGUUUGAUAAUAUGCCUAGGUGAUACAAUUCAUGUCCCAUGAUUUAAUAGUUCUUAAAUGACAAGUCCAUGAUCUAUGCUUUACAAUUUUUGAUGAAUUCCAUAUGAGUGAUAUGCGUUGUUGUUGUGAUAUGGAUUGAUCAUGAUAUUGAAACUAUGCAAGUAUAUACAUGUUGUAUGAAUUUCCCUUCCAUGUAUAAGAUGUUGAGAACUAUGCUUAGUGUGAAAUCCCUUACUCAUUAUAUGGUAAAUUGUGGACUCUACUCUUACGAUCAAGUCAGUCAUGUGUGUCAGUUUCCUUCUAUUGAGUCCUUGGGUUACUUGUACCCAAAAGAUAUAGUUUCAUGCCUAGAGCCAUGUUAUGUUAUCAUGAUAAUCUCAGUCAAGCCAUGAUCUAUAGAACUCAGUCAGGCAUGUGACUCAGGAAAACUCAAAAAUCUCAUGAUCUUAGUUAAUUCUCAAAUACUAGCACUAAUCCAUCAGUCAACGAAAGUCAGUUACUCAGUCCACAUACCGUCAGUUAAAUUACGUUCAGUCUCUUUGGAUGGGAGUAGAAGUUAUCACCGAGUGAACCCAAGGAUAGGAACUCACCUGCCAGUUUAGGGUGUGAUUCUUAGCAAUCAUCCUUGUGUUCCGAAACUACGUAGCCAACGUAGGUUGAGACAUCUUAACCUGUCAGAUUAGGGGUAAUGAGGUGGCUUAAUCCAUCAGUUUAGGUUUCCCACCAUUCUCAUUUUAAGUACCUGCCAUCUAAGGGUCACUCACAGUUGUCCUUAUCAGUGGCGCGGUAUUGAUUCCCUUCCAGUCGGAGAAGAGAUUGGACCCCAACUUAGCUAUAUGCUUUAUUGGGGCAUGUCGGUUAAACAACUAUCUCCCACAGUUUCAGUCCCAAUCUUAGUAAAAAAAACUCAAAUAUUUCUUCAAAUUUCAAUAUUUCAAGACUGUCAGAUUUAGUCAAUUCAGUUAUAGAAUGGAACACAGAUAGUUCCACUAGAUUUAGCACUGUCAGACACAGUCAUCCAUGUUAUUAGAAUUUUUGUAUUUGUCAUGCUAGAUAUCAGUAGAUCAUGUAUUAGUGUCCAGAUCUAGAUAUCACGUACUCAGUUACUACUUAUGCGUGUUUGCACUCUUGCGUUCAUAUCAGUCCGUCAGUCAGUCAAUCAGCAUCAUUCCUGCAUGUAAACCCUUUUGUAUUUAUCCUAUCUCACUCGUAUACUCAGUACUUCCAGUUGUACAGAUGCAUUUGCGCUAUGGUGCUUUCUUUCACGUUACACCAUAGGUUAAUAGAUACGAGCUCCAAAUCAGUAUUAGUAGUAGCAUUCCAGUCGCAGAGUUGUCGUAAUUCCACUUCCAUUCAAGGAUGAUAUUAUUUAUUUCAUUUAUUAAUUCAGUUCAGUUUUGCUGGACGGAGUUAGUUGGAGACAUUUUCCUUCAACUCCUUAUUCAGAUAGUAUUUAGAGACUUUCAGAUUUAGCUCAGAUUUGAUUCAAAUUUCAGUUGUGUUGGGUAUUCGUUACCCCAUAUGGAUGUUAUGAUUUGUCAAAUAUUCUCUGUAGUUGAACCUUGUGGCUUAUUUUCAUGUUUUCCGCAUUAUUAUGUUAUAUAUUGUAGUAUACAGGUACAGAUAUCAGUCAUGGGUUAGCUUGUGGUCCCUCGGGAUCAAAGGCACCGUGUAGCGAUCCGGUUCAGAAAAAACUGGGGCGUUACAAAUUUGAUCUCCACUAUAUGACAUAUUUGUCAAGGACCAAUCUCUUUCCUCUAUCAGAACAUCUUCAGGAUUUGGUCUUGGAUAAUAAGCAGUUUGCAUACGAGGGACAUCAGCAUAUUUUUUCCUCGAUUGUUUUCUUAUCAAACCUCUUAGUUUAUUUAAGUUGAAUGGAUUUCAGAGCCUACAUCCGUAAUUGGAGUAGACUAAAGGUUAUCAGCAAAAGUAUUUGACAGAUCAAUGGGUUUUAUGUUUAAACUAGAAAAUUUCUUUUCAAGUAAUUGUUCAAGUUGUUCUAAUUCAGAAGGUUUUCCAAAUCCUUGAAUAUCAGGGGGACUUUGAAUAUGAGGCUUAGCUGUCAAGUCUUCUAUUUUGCUUUUUGAUGUGGAAGCAAUAUCAGAUGACCUUUGACUAUCCCUUUGCUUCUUAAUCAAAGUUGUCAUAAUAUCGAGUUUUUUAUCAAGAGAAGAAAUAUGUUCUCCAAGAACUUUCACAUACAGAGUCAUAUAAUUGUUUUAAGCAAUUAAACUAUUUAUUUCAGAAAUAGUGAUUUUUCCCACUUCAUUAUCAAUGAAAUUUUGAAAAGCAGAAAAAGUUAUACCAUUAUUAUUUGGUAAUAUAAAAGAUGACUGGGGAGGGUAAAUAGCCUGAGUAAUAGUACCAUUUGAAUUUUUGUAAGAUCUUCCAAUAAUUUUUACAUAUAAAGGCAGGUAAACAGAUAUAAACCAUGGCACAAAUAAAUAAUUUGAUUAUUUAAUGCACACAUUUCACAGAAUUCUUUAGAAAUAUUUUUCAUUUUAUCAUGACUAUAUGUUUCAAAAAACCAUGUCCUAAACAUUUUCCAGUUUUCACCAAAAAAUUCCUUUUUAAUGUAAUUUCUUACCUGUGAACCAGGAUUAAAAUCAAUUAGGAGAGGAAUCAUAAUUUAACAAGAAUUAACAUCGAACUCCAUUUUAGAGGGAGUGGGGUUAUCCUUAUCUAGGACAUUAUCAUUAUCAUGAACUAUAUUUGUUUUAGGAUUGAUUUUAAUCUUUUCAAUACUUCUAAGAGGAGUAUGCAAAUCUGCAGAACUUAGAGUAUGUAAUAGUGCAGCACGGUUUCUAGCUAGACCAUAAACUGGUUCAACUGGAGAGAUAUGAUGCAUAGCAGUCAACAUUCUAGUCGUAGAAAAAGAGUUUUGAUUAUAAACGGUAGAAUUAUCAUCAAAUUAAAGGCAAAUUCUUCCGUCAGUAUUUUGAGUAACAUGAGUUGACUCUGAGUUUGUCACAUCUUUCGUAAGUUGUUUUGGAGAAAUGGCAGAGUUUAAAAUCCAUGUUUUUGGGAAAUUAAUCUCUUCCCAUCUUAUAGGUCUCCUGGUAGUGACCUUGGAUUUUGCAAAAUUUAUUCCAAUAAGCAUAGUAUAAUCAAAAGCAUCAUCAAUCAAUUUACAUCGAGGAUUCAUUAUAGCUAAUAAACGAUUAUAAAUGUGAUAGGAUAAAUAGAUUAGUUCAGAUCUAGACGCAUAAUUAUAACCAUGAGUUUUUAUAUUUAAAGUCAAAGCAUCAAGAAUAUUCAUAUCAGUCAACGAUUGCAAAAUUGGCUGAGUGUUAAAAUAUACAAGGCCAUAAGCAAGAGAAGAUUCAAUAGAUCCCAUUAGAGACUGUCGAAAAUUUAAAUUUCUAGCAUCAUGUAGUGCAGCUACAAAUGUUUCUGGAAGACCUUUCAAGUUUAAAGGUUUAAAAGCAAUUUGCACUAAACCAAUAUGCAUAAAAUUAUACUGAUUUUUAAAUAUAUCAAUAUCUUUUUUAUUCAAUAAUUUUAUGGUUUGUUCGUCAGCAUUCAAAGCAAUAGAUUGUUCAGUGGUAUUUUUUAUCUGCUUAUAUUUAUAUUUAUCAAGAAAGCCAUAUUCAUAAAUGGUUUUUUGUAACGCCCCAGAAAACGGGUCCCGGAGAGGCUACGAGUAGCCCCAAGCUAACCCUUUGAGCCAUUUUCAUUCAGUUCAACACAAAUCAAUGAGGUUUUCAUAAAUAUCCCUCAAAUAUCAAUAAAGUAAUCAUCAUCCAAGAAUAAAAAAAUUUUAGAAAGAUAACAAAAUAUGACUUAUUAGUCAACUCCCAACAUCUAUACUAGUCUGACAAGCCUCUAAGAAAAUCAAUAAAACCAGCGAGCCAUUGAGACAUGCCCCAAUUGACACAUACUCAAUUAUCAAAUGUAAACAAUUCCGUGAAACCAACAUCACACAUCACGCCCUCGGAACAUGAGGACUCACCACAACAGAGGAUGUAGAAUAGCGUGCUCGAAGAAUCACUGUCGAACCUAGAACUAAGCACCUGAACCUAUAUUCUGAGAAAAUGUAGCCCACAUCCGAAGAUGUGGGUCAGUACCAUGGAAAGGAACCGAGUAUUUGGGGGUGUAUGCUAUUGUAUAAACAUCAACAUCGUAAAUAUUUAUUAAAAAAUAUGCAGGAUAUAUGAAAGACUCACAUGGCCCGAAGAAAAUCAUCAUAAUCAUGAGAGGAUGAAAUAAGUACAAUAACACAUGUGAGUCAUCAUAUAAUUUAUCAAUCACUUUCAGUUCAUCAAGAAUAUCAAUUCUNNNNNNNNNNNNNNNNNNNNNNNNNNNNNNNNNNNNNNNNNNNNNNNNNNNNNNNNNNNNNNNNNNNNNNNNNNNNNNNNNNNNNNNNNNNNNNNNNNNNNNNNNNNNNNNNNNNNNNNNNNNNNNNNNNNNNNNNNNNNNNNNNNNNNNNNNNNNNNNNNNNNNNNNNNNNNNNNNNNNNNNNNNNNNNNNNNNNNNNNNNNNNNNNNNNNNNNNNNNNNNNNNNNNNNNNNNNNNNNNNNNNNNCGAUCCAAAUAUCAAAAUCAUGAUAAAUAUCGUUCAAGAUUCAUGCUUUAUAUCUCCACACAUGUAAAUUCAUCUUUCAAAAUCAUAAACAUCAAGAUUUCAUAAUAAUCAUCAUAAGAUAUGGGUUCAUGCUUCAAAUUCAUAAAAAUCAAAUAAAAAUCAUGCCUUUGUAAAGAAAAUUACUUUUGGGCACAAGAACGAAAGAGAGUUCUUGUUGAAAAACCCCACAUACCUUGAAUGAUGAACUUUAGAUCGAUACUCAUUUUUGAGAUAUUAGUUGUUCCUUUGAAUGAUGGUUCUUGGAGUUCUUGAACUAGGAACUUGGAAUCUUGAAUAAAUUUACAGAAUUAAUGGUGAACUUUGGAGGUUCUUGAAGUUGGAUGUAGGAGCUUAGGGUUUUCUUUUUGAGGGAAUUUGAUGAAAUAUAACAUAUAAUGCUUCUAAUAGGCUUUAAUAUAGGGUUUGGAUGGAUUUUGGGUGAGAUGGAAUGACCAAAACGCCCCUAAAAAUCAAAUAAUUCUCAUAUCUGUCCUUUGGUGGAUUGUUUUGAUAGUCUGAAGUGUAUCAACCAUAACGUUUUUACUCCAAUAUUUAGAAAUAGGACUCUCAUAUCUUUCCAUUGAUAUAUAGUAUCUCACCCAGAUCAUUGUGUACGAGUAGUUAUGAUCAUUUGAAGUUGACCUAAAAAUUCACUUUUGAUAGGCUGAAGUAGAUCGACCAUAACUUUUUUCUCCGACAGACAAAUUGGAUGAAACCAAUUUCAUUGCAAAGAGGAAUCACAGAUAUUUUCGUUGAUAUAUAGUAGAUCACCUAGAUCAUUAUGUACAAGGAGUUAUGAUUGUUUAAAGUUGGAGCAAAAAUACGCCAGGCCUUAGGACUUUUUCCUGCACAUUUUACUGUUUACUACUAUUCACGGUUCGAACGGAAUGUUCAUAACUCGUUGCUCGGGUGUCCAUUUUGGAUAAUCCACAAAUCGUUGGAAAGAUUAUUCGAUACUCUACGCAAUGGUGGGUCAUAAUCUAAGACAUUCCACACGGAAAAUUUAUAAUUCAUUCCAGAAGAUAGAUCCCAACACAUUUACGCACAAAAUUUCAACUAAAAAUUUCCCGGGAUAUUACAUCAUCCCCACCUUGGAAACAUUCAUCCUCGAAUAUCUCUAGACAUGCCAAGAUUAGAUAGGGAAUAGAGCAUACAGCUGAAACCAUUUGUUAGACUCAUCACCACAUCGUUUCUCACUCCGAAUACAAUAUAGAAUGCAUAAAUUCAAGAAACUACAGCUGAGCACAUAAUAAAUGACAGCUGAACUGCUGUAACUUUUAUCAAAAGUGCAUGAUUUAGGAAAGAACGGUACCUUCCACUUGAUCGGAGUUCGCGGAAAAUAGGUGCGGGUACUUGGAUCGCAUAUCUGCGUCAGCUUCCCAAGUUGCACCCUCGAUAGAUUGGUCUCACCACAACACCUUGACCAAGGAAACUUCUUUGUUCCUUAGUCUUCGGACACUGAAAUCAAGAAUCUCAACAGGAAUCUCAUAAAAAGAAAGAUUUUCUUAAAUGUCAGUACUCACAGAGGAAUCCACUACCACAACAUUGCUAAUAUGCUUUCUAAGCAUGGAGAUAUGAAAUAUUGGAUGAACAGAGGAUAACUCGGAAGGCAAUUCGACCUCAUAAGCUACCUACCAACAUGGCUAAGAAUUUUGUAAGGACCAACAUAACGGGGACUAAGCUUCCCCUUCUUUUCGAAUCUCUUCACCCCCUCCCCCCUUAUGGGUGAAAUUUUCACAUACACUAGGUCACCAACUUCAAACUCAAGGUCUGUCCUUCUAACAUCCGCAUAUGACACGACUCUGCGCAGUUUUCAACCUUUCCCUAAUCAAAUUAACUUUUUCCAUAGCCUUCAAUACCGAAUUAGGACCACUCACAGCUGCUUCACCCACCUCAAACCAACCUAUAGGUGAUCUACACUUCCUCUCAUAUAAGGCUUCAAAUAGAGCCAUGCCAAUACUAGAGUGGAAACUGUUAUUGUAAGCAAACUCUAUCAACGAUAAGUGAUCAUCCCAACUUCCCUUAAAGUUAAUUGCACAAGCUCUCAACAUAUCCUCUAAGGUCUAUAUGGUCUGCUCAGCCUGACCAUCAGUCUACGGAUGAAAAGCAGAACUCAAAAGCACUUGGGUAUCAAGGCCCUUCUGAAAAGCUUUCCAAAAUUACGAAGUGAACUGAGUACCCCUAUCCGAAAUGAUAAAUAAGGGAACUCCAUGCAAUCUGAAUAGCUCUCGAUAUACAAUCUAGCGUAAUCCUCAGUAGUAUAUGAAGUAUGAACAGGCAAGAAAUGAGCAGACUUAGUCAACCUAUCAACCACAACCUAAAUGGAAUCAUGAUGGCGUCGGGAAGGAGGUAAACCAAUCACGAAGUCCAUAAUUAUCUCUUCCCACUUCUAGGUAAGAAUACUAAACUCUUACAUCAUACCACCAGGUCUUUUGUGUUCAACCUUAACCUGUUGGCAUGUUGCACACUUAGCUACAAACGCUGCUAUAUCUUUCAUUAUUCCACUCCACCAAUAGAUUUCCCGCAAGUCUUGGUACAUCUUGCUGGCACCAGGAUGAAUAGAAUAUCGCGCCCCGUAUGCUUCAACCAUAAUCCUCUGUCUCAGAUCAUCAACAUUCGGGACACACAAUCUACCCUGCAAUCUCAACACACUAUCUCCCAUUUGGGAGAAAACCUCUACUUUUUGGUCCUUGACUGACUCCUUCAUUCUGACCAAACUAGUAUCUAAGUAUUGCUUUUCCUUUACUUCUAAACCCAAGGAGGAUUCGGAACUACUCUUAACCCCUAUACUACCUUCAGCAGAGUCAAACAACCUAACCCCCAAUCUAGCCAAACAAUGUACAUCACGAGCCAACUCUUUCUUACCUUCUACCACAUGUGAAACACUACCCAUAGACACUCUCAUCCGCCACAACAUUGGCCUUGUUCAGAUGGUACAACACACUCAUGUCAUAGUCCUUUAACAAUUCUAACCAUCGUCUCUGCCUAUGAUUCAAUUCUCUCUGGGUAAACACAUACUGCAGACUCUUAUGAUCAAUGAAAACAUCAACAUGGACACCAUACAAAUAGUGUCUCCAUAUUUUCGAAGCAAACACAAUAGCAGCCAACUCAAGUUCAUAGGUAGGGUAAUUUUUCUCUUGGGGUUUCAACUGUCUAGAAGCAUAAGCUAUCACCUUACCCUUCUGCAUAAAUACGCAACCCAACCCAACUCUUAAAGCAUCACAGUACACCAUAAAACCAUCAACAUCAUCAAGCAAAGACAAAACAGGGGCUAAAGUGAGUCGAGUCUUCAACUCCAGAAAACUCUUCUCACAAGAUUCGAACCAUAAGAACUUCACUUUUUUUGGGUCAACCAAGUCAUAGGAGAUGCUAUAGAGGAGAAACCCUUAACAAAAUGGUGGUAAUAGCCAGCUAAACCCAAGAAACUUCAGAUAUCAAUCGGAGAAAUAGGUCUAGGCCAAUUUCUAACAGCUUCGGUCUUUUGGGGAUCAACUCUAAUAUCCUCGGAAGAAAUGAUAUAACCCAGAAAAGCAACUGACCUUAGCCAAAACUCACACUUACUAAACUUGGCAAACAACUUAUGAUCUCUAAGAGUUUGCAAGAAAGUUCGGAGAUGAUUAGAAUAUUCAUCCUCACUACUGGAGUACAUCAGUAUAUCAUCGAUGAACACUAUGACAAACAUAUCCAGAUAUGGUUUGAACACUCGAUUCAUGAGGUCCAUGAAAGCUGCUGGGGCAUUAGUUAACCCGAAAGACAUUAGAAGAAACUCAAAAUGGCCAUAACGAAUUUGAAAAGUAGUUUUUGGGAUGUCACACUCUCUAACUUUGAGUUGAUGAUAGCCAGAACGAAGGUCUAUCUUUGAGAAAUAACUUGCACCUUGCAAUUGGUCAAACAAAUCAUCUAUUCUCGAAAGGGGGUACUUAUUUUUUAUGGUGACUUUAUUCAGUUGGCGGUAAUCAAUGGACAUACGCAAAGAGCCAUCUUUCUUUCUCACAAACAACACAGGAGCACCCUAAGGAGAAACACUAGGCCUUAUAAAACCUUUAUCUAGUAGAUCUUUGAGUUUCUCUUUCAACUCCUUAAGUUCUGCAAGGGCUAUAUGGUAAGUAAGAAUAGAAAUAGGCUGAGUAUCGAGAAAAAGAUCAAUCCUGAACUCUAUCUCUCUAUCAGGAGGUAUCCCUGGGAGAUCAUCCAAAAAGACAUCAGAAAACUCAUUGACGACGUUAACAGACUGGAGAGUUAGAGUCUCAGACUUAGUGUCUUUGACUCUAACCAAAUGGUAAAUAUAGCCCUUGGAAAUAAUCUUUCUAGCUUUGAGGUAAGAGAUAAAAUGACUCUUGGGUGACAUAGAAUUCCCAGACCACUCAAACACGGAUGCACCUAGAAACUGAAACUUGACCACUCGGGUCCGAUAAUCAAUAGAGGCAUUAGAAGAAUACAGCCAGUCCAUACCUAGAAUCACAUCAAAAUCUACCAUGUCUAACUUAAUCAGAUCAGCCAACAAGACUCUAUGAAGAAUGGUAACAGGACACUUUUUAUACACUUUCUGGGCAACAGUCGAAUCACCCACUAGGGUAGAAACUAGGAUAGGCUCAGGAAUAAUCUCAGGACUCAUUUCAAAAUUCACAGCAAUCAAUGGUGUAACAUUUGAGAAACUGGAUCCAGUAUCAAACAAAGCAUACACAUCAAACUGAAAUAUAUAAAGCAUACCAAUAACAACAUCAAGAGAGUUCUCCUUUUCCUGGCAGAACGGUAAAGCAUAGAAUCUAUUCUGGCACUGUUCGUCAGCAUUGCUAGAAGAGGCGCCCUGAGCUGAGGCUGGGCGAGUCGCUGGAACUGGAGCACUAACAGUCUGAGUCUGGGUCUGAGGGCGAUAGUCACAACACCCUUGUCCAUCCUGUGGAAAAUCUCUAACUCUAUGACCCUUGUCACCAUACUGGAAACACCCCUCUUCUCACCCCAACACUCACCCGAAUGAUCCCUACCACACUUAGGACACAGGGGACAAUUUGGCUUACUGCCAGCACUGUACUAGGACCUGGAUGCAUAUGACCUGCUACCUUGCUCCUGCCUACCUCUAGGCACGAGAGAACUAGCAGAUGACGGUGAUGGCAUAGACAAAUGAUCCUGAUACUAAGGGCGACUCCCUCCCUGUAAUCUAGUCUGACCCUGUCCAUGCUGCUCGGACCUAGCUCUCUUAUUCCCUAUUAUUUUAUCUUUCUCUUUAAUCUUGUCUACCUCAAUUUGUUGGGCAUGAGUCAUCAGCCUAGAAAGAUUUAUCUCACUAUUCAGCAUAGAUGACCUACACUCCUUAACCACAUAACUAGAUAAUCCAGUCACAAACUUACUCAUACUAGCCCGAUUAUCAGCUACUAAGUCAGAAGCAUAUUUGUCCAACUGAUUAAACGUUAGACAGUACUCCCUAAUAGUCAUAUAGCCCUGUUGGAGGUUCAUAAACUCUUCCACCUUUGUCUCCCUCAUCUUGAAAGGGAAAAACUCAUCUAGGAAUGCAUCCUGGAACUCUUGCUAAGUUGUAGGGACAACUCCCUUACCUCUAUCUUUCGUCUAAGAAACAACCCAGUUAUAAGCAAGGUCUUUCAACCUAUACGCAGCCAACUCCACAUUAUGUUCCUCAGAUACAUGCAUCACCUGAGUAAUCUUCUGCACUUUCUCUAAAAACAACCGUGGAUCCUCAUCAAACUUAGACCCAUAGAAUUCCAGCGGAUUCAUCCGCAUGAAGUCACGGAUCCUAGCAGGGCAAUUAAACUAUUUAUUUUGAGCAAUUAAACGAUUUAUUUCAGAAAUAGUAAUUUUUCCCACUUCAUUAUCAAUGAAAUUUUGAAAAGCAGAAAAAGUUAUACCAGUAUUAUUUGGUAAUAUAAAAGAUGACUGAGGAGGGUAAAUAACCUGAUUAAUAGUACCAUUUGAAUUUUGGUAAGAUCUUUCAAUAAUUUUUACAUAUAAAGGAAUGUAAACAGAUACAAACCAUGGCACAAAAUAAAUAAUUUGAUUAUUUAAUGCACACAUUUCAUAGAAUUCUUCAGAAAUAUUUUUCAUUUUAUCAUGACUAUAAUUUAAAAAAAAACCAUGUCCUAAACAUUUUCCAUUUUUCACCAAAAAAUUCCUUUUUAAUGUAAUUUCUUGCCUGUGAACAAAGAUUAAAAUCAAUUAGGAGAGGAAUCAUAAUUUAACAAGAAUUAACAUCGAACUCCAUUUAAGAGGGAGUGGGGUUAUCCCUAUCUAGGACAUUAUCAUUAUCUUGAACUAUAUUUGUUUUAGGAUUGAUUUUAAUUUUUUCAAUACUUCUAAGAGGAGUAUGCAAAUCUGCAGAACUUAGAGUAUGUAAUAAUGCAGCACAGUUUCUAGCUAGACCAUAAACUGGUUCAACUGGAGAGAUGUGAUGCACAGCAGUCAACAUUCUAGUCGUAGAAAAAGAGUUUUGAUUAUAAAUGCUAGAAUUAUCAUCAAAUUAAAGGCAAAUUCUUCUAUCAGUAUUUUGAGUAACAUGAGUUAACUCUGAGUUUGUCACAUCUUCCGUAAGUUGUUCUGGAGAAAUGAUAGAGUUUAAAAUCCAUGUUUUUGGGAAAUUAAUCUCUUCCUAUCUUAUAGGUCUCCUGGUAGUGACCUUGGAUUUUGCAAAAUUUAUUUCAGUAAGCAUAGUAUAAUCAAAAGCAUCAUCAAUUAAUUUACAUCGAGGAUUCAUUGUAGCUAAUAAACGAUUAUAAAUGUGAUAGGAUAAAUAGAUUAGUUCAGAUCUAGACGCAUAAUUAUAACCAUAAGUUUUUAUAUUUAAAGUCAAAGCAUCAAGAAAAUUCAUAUCAGUCAAAGAGAUUUGCAAAUUUGGCUGAGUGUUAAAAUAUACAAGCCAUAAACAAGAGUAGAUUCAAUAGAUCCCAUCAGAGAUUGUUGAAAAUUUAAAUUUCUAGCAUCAUGUAGUGCAGCUACAAAUGUUUCUGGAAGACCUUUCAAGUUUAAAGGUUUAAAAGCAAUUUGCACUAAACCAAUAUGCAUAAAAUUAUACUGAUUUUUAAAUAUAUCAAUAUCUUUUUUAUUCAGUAAUUUUAUGGUUUGUUCGUCAGCAUUCAAAGCAAUAGAUUGUUCAGUGGUUUUUUUUAUCUACUUAUAUUUACAUUUAUCAAGAAAGCCAUAUUCAUAAAUGGUUUUUUGUAAUGCCCCGAAAAAUGUGUCCCAGAGCAUCACACAGUGCUUGAGGCUACGAGUAGCCCCAAGCUAACCCUUUGAGCCAUUUUCAUUCAGUUCAACACAAAUCAAUGGAGGUUCUAUAAAUAACCCUCAAAUAUCAAUAGAUUAAUCAUCAUCCAAGAAUAGAAGAAUUUCAGAAAGAUAACAAAAUACGACUUAUUANNNNNNNNNNNNNNNNNNNNNNNNNNNNNNNNNNNNNNNNNNNNNNNNNNNNNNNNNNNNNNNNNNNNNNNNNNNNNNNNNNNNNNNNNNNNNNNNNNNNNNNNNNNNNNNNNNNNNNNNNNNNNNNNNNNNNNNNNNNNNNNNNNNNNNNNNNNNNNNNNNNNNNNNNNNNNNNNNNNNNNNNNNNNNNNNNNNNNNNNNGAACUGAGUAUAUGGGGGUGUAUGCAGUUGUAUAAACAUCAUCAUCAUAAAUAUUUAUAAGAUAUAUGCAGGAUGUAUGAAAGACUCACAUAGCCCGAAGAAAAUCAUCAUAAUCAUGAGAGGUUGAAAUAAGUAUAAUAACACAUGUGAGUCAUCAUAUAAUUUGUCAAUCACUUUCAAUUCAUCAAGAAUAUCAAUUCUCAUAAUGUAAAUAUCAUUUAAAUCUUUCAAAAGAAUAACUUUCACCAUUCCACUUUCAAAUCACUUCACCAUUCACCAUAGACACAAGAAAACACACACACACUAGGAGAUCCUAUAGCCGACAUAAACCAUGUGAGCUACAUAGAGUGAGCUACAUGGAGUCCAACGUACAACCCACGUUGGAGAGAGUCAUCCUAUCCUAGCCAUCAGAGUAGGACUAUCGAUAUCAAAUCCACACAAACUAGUGAUCACUUUAUAAAUCAGCCUCAGGCUCACUCCUACGGGGGUACGUAGCUCGAGGGAAGUAAGGUCGCUUUAUACCUCCCACUUGGUGCUAAUGAUUUCUCCCGGACUUAGCUCAGAUCAUUUCAAAGACAAUUCAUAACAAAAUAAUUUCUGUAAUAUAUAAAUAUAUAUUGGGAGCCAUCAUGCAUCCCAUCUAUCAAAAUCAACCAUGUUGUGGAUUUUUUUCACACUCGAGUUCAAAACAACUCCAUUAAGACCAAAAGGUCAAAUCAUUCAAAAUAUCUCAAAUUUCAAUAUCAACGUGCUUAUAACAUACACUUUCUCAAAAAAAACAUAAUUUCCAAUAAAGAUUCACGACCCAAAUAUCAAAAUCAUGAUAAAUAUCGUUCAAGAUUUAUGCUUUUAAUCUCCACACGUGUAAAUUCAUCUUUCAAAGUCAUAAACAUCAAGAUUUUAUAAUAAUCAUCAUAAGAUAUGGGUUCAUGCUUUAAAUUCAUAAAAGUCAAAUAAAAAUCAUGCCUUGUAAAGGAAAUUACUUUUGGGCACAAGAACGAAAGAGAGUUCUUGUUGAAAAACCCCACAUACCUUGAAUGAUGAACUUUAGAUCGAUACUCAUUUUUGAGAUGUUAAUCGUGCCUUUGAAUGAUGGUUCUUAGAGUUCUUGAACUAGGAACUUGGAAUCUUGAAUAAAUUUGCAGAAUUAAUGGUGAACUUUGGAGGUACUUGAAGUUGGAUAUAGGAGCUUAGGGUUUUCUUUUUGAGGGAAUUUGAUGAAAUAUAACAUAUAAUGUUUCUAAUAGGAUUUACUAUAGGGUUUGGACGGAUUUUGGGUGAGGAUAAAUGACCAAAAUGCCCCUAAAAAUUAAAUAAUUCUCGAAUCUAUCCUUUGGUGGACUGUUUUGAUAGUCUGAAGUAGAUCAACCAUAACAUUUUACUUCUAUAUCCAAAUUGGAUGAAACCAAUUUCAUUAGAAAGAGGACUCUCAUAUAUUUCCGUUGAUAUAUAGUAUCUCACCCAGAUCAUUGUGUACGAGGAGUUAUGAUCGUUUGAAGUUGACCCAAAAAAUUCGCUUUUGAUAGGCUGAAGUAGAUCGACCAUAACUUUUUGCUUCGCUAGACAAAUUGGAUGAAACCAAUUUUAUUGGAAAGAGGACUCGCAAAUAUUUCCGUUGAUAUAUAGUAGAUCACCCAGAUCAUUAUGUACAAGGAGUUAUGAUCAUUUAAAGUUGGAGCAAAAAUAUGUCAGGCCUCAGUAAUUUUUCCUGCACGUUUUACUGUUCACUACUAUUCACGGUUCGAUCGGAAUUUUCAUAACUCAUCGCUCGGGUGUCCAUUUUGGAUGAUCCACAUAUCAUUGGAAACUUAUUCGAUACUCUAUGCAAUGGUGGAUCAUAAUAUAAGACAUUCUGCAUGGAAAAUUUAUAAUACAUUCUAGAAGAUAGAACCUAACACGUUUACGCACAAAAUUUCAAUGAAAAAUUUCCUGGGGUAUUACAUUUUUAUAUCUACUUUUGGAAUAUUUAUUUAAUAAAUCUAGGUUUAGAGGUAAAUCUAACUCUCAAUUUUAGUACUUUUUGUACUAACUUCUCCCAUAUCGAAGCUCUUUUUCUAUGACUAGAAUGUUGCCUGAUAUGCAUCACAUCUCUCCAGUUGAACUAGUUUAUGGUCCAUCUAGAAAUCGUGCUGCAUCAUUGCAUACUAUAAGUUCUGCAGAUUUGGUACUCCUCUUAGAAGUAUUGAAAAGAUUAAAAUCCAUCCUAAAACAAAUAUAGUUCAAGAUAAUUAUAAUAUCCCAGAUAGGGAUAACCCCACUCCCUCUGAAAUGGAGUUUGAUGUUAAUUCUUGUUAAAUUAUGAUUCCUCACCUAAUUUAUUUUAGUCCUGGUUCAUAGGAAAGAAAUUACAUUAUAAAGCAAAUUUUUGGUUAAAAAUGGAAAAUGUUUAGGACAUGGUUUUUUGAAACAUAUAGUCGGGAUGAAAUGAAAAAUAUUUCUGAAGAAUUCUAUGAAAUGUGUGCAUUAAAUAAUCAAAUUAUUUGUUUUGUUCCAUGGUUUAUAACUGUUUACCUACCUUUAUAUGUAAAAAUUAUUGAAAUAUCUUAACAAGGGACAUAAAUGAUUUAAUUGAUAUGAAGCAUUGGCGGGUAAAUUUCUUAAAGCUUGAAAUGAUGAGUAAGAAUAUUCAUAAUACUAUGAAUUCUGUAAAAAUUCAGGAAAAAAUAAAAAUGCUUUCUUAUUAAUUGAUGGUUGAUAUUUGUACUGAACACCCUAAUACUUUUUGGAAUCACAAAGAGCGUAUAGUUACUCUUCCUUCUGAAGAUGAUUUCAGCAAAGAUAAAAUCCCAACCAAAUCUUGACCCUUCCAAAUGAACAAAGAGUUGGUUGAAUUUUGUAAAAAAGAGAUUGAUAAUCUCUUACAAAAGGGUCUUAUAAAACCUUCAAAAUUCCCUUGGUCGUGCACGGCAUUCUAUGUUAAUAAUGUUGUUGAAAAAGAACAUGGUAUGCCAAGACUUGUAAUUAAUUAUAAACCUCUUAAUAAAGUUUUGAAAUGGAUUAGGUAUCCCAUACCUAAUAAAAAGGACUUGUUAUCUAGAUUAUAUAAUGCUAAUAUAUUUUCAAAAUUUUAUUUAAAAUCUGGCUAUUGGCAAAUUCAGAUUUUUCAAGAGCACACAUAUAGAACUGUUUUUAAUGUUCCUUUUGGACAAUAUGAGUGGAGUGUGAUGCCAUUUAGUCUGAAAAUGCUCUUCUCAAUUUCAAAAAAUCAUGAAUGAUAUAUUUAGUCCACAUAUGGAUUUUAUAAUUGUGUGUAUUGAUGACAUUCUUGUAUUUUCAAAAACAUUAGAAUUGAAUUUUAAACAUCUGAAUAUAUUCAAGCAAAUUGAGUUACAAAAUGGUUUGGUCAUCUCUAAACAAAAAAUGUGCUUAUUUCAAACUGAUAUUCAAUUUUUAGGACACAAUAUUUGCCAAGGAAGAAUCUAACCCAUACAGAGGGCUUUGAACUUUGCUAAAAAAAUUCCCUGAUAGUAUAACUGAUAAAACUCAAUUGAAAAGGUUCUUAGGCAGCCUUAAUUACAUUUUUCCUUUUUAUCAGAAUCUGUCUCAUGAUUUAACCCCUUUAUAUAAUAGGAUAAAAAGAAUUACAAAGGUCCUUUGACUGAUUCUCACACUAAUCUGUAAAAAAUGAUUAAAAAAUGUGUCGAGUCUUUACCUUGUUUAACCUUAGCUAAUCCAGCUUGGUUAAAAAUAGUUGAUAUUGACACUUCUAGUGUUGGUUAUGGUGGAAUACAUAAACAAAUUAAUCCCCAUAAUCAUAUUGAAAGCCUCAUUAGGUUUCAUUUUGGAAAAUGGUCUGAAAGUCAAAAAAAAUACGCCACUGUGGCUUGUAAAAUAUUAACUAUUGUUAAAGGUGUUUUAAAAUUCCAAGAUGAUUUAUAUAAUCAAAAAUUUAUAGUUAGGACUGAUGCUCAAUCAAUUAAAUGUAUGUUUGAUAAAAAUUUUAAACAUGAUGCUUCCAAGUUAAUCUUAGCAAGAUGGCAAGCUCAAUUGGCCCCUUUUAAUUUUGAAAUACAAUACAAGAAAAGGAGUGAAAAUUCUUUUCCUGAUUUUUUGUCUUGAGAAUAUUUAAAUAAUUAAAUAAAUUUUGAUACAUACUUCCUUUUUGAAAAAACAAUAAUUAUGAUUAUCAAAAGCAUUACUCUAAAUGAAGAUAUUCAUUUUAUUAUAUUAGAAAAAAUCAUCCAUGAUAUGAUAGAAGAAGAUUUAUUUCUUCCCAAUUUUGCAGACAUCCGUGAUGAAAUUGAUUGGUAUGAUAUUGAUUUAUAUGACUAAUUUUAUACGUUGUAAAGGUACAGAUCCGCCUUGAAAAAUAUCCAGAGGUUGAGGUAGAGGAAGAAGCCACAGAGGAAGAUACUCCUCCUCAGGGGGAAGAUACUCCCCAUCAUUAUCAUUAUAUACUUCGUCUUCAUCUAAUUUCCCAGUAUUGCAAAGGAGAAAUAUGAUCCUGAUAAAUGCAAGGAUUUUGCAUAUUGCGAAAUUUUCUUCAAAGGACAAUAAACUCAGCAUAUAAGCACCUCGAUCCAUCUAGAAGAUAUUUCAUAAGAUCAUCCUUUAUAUGAGCAACUGCAAUCUUUUAUAUCUGCAAAGCAAGCAGAUUUGUUUGCUUCAGUUACUAAAGAAAACUCUAUAGAAAGGAAACAAUAUGAAAAACUUAAAAAUCAAAAGAUAAUAGUUCUCAUAGAAAAUUCUCAAAUAUGAAAACAAAAUGAUCCCUGGAAACUUCUCUAAAAACAUUUACUAGCUUACCUUUAUUUUGCAGGUGAAUCCUAUAAAACAAGAGCAUUCUAUGAACCAAUAUUAUUGUCACUGGAAGUAUUGAAUUGGAACAUUACCAAAUGGGUGAGUCAACCCAGAUGUUCAUUGAUACUCCAAUAUUGUUAAUAAAAAACUCAUUUCAAUAGAAGACUGGGGAACUACUUCCAUGUCAGAAAAGGCCAUGAUGAUGAAAGGAUCAAAAUUUUCCUUUUUAAUGUAAUUUCUUGCCUGUGUACUAG